rnacentral:rRNA from 1 species
AUACGGAGGGUGCGAGCGUUGUUCGGAAUUACUGGGCGUAAAGGGCGCGUAGGCGGCUUUACAAGUCAGGUGUGAAAGUCCACGGCUCAACCGUGGAAGUGCAUUUGAAACUGUAAGGCUUGAGUACUGGAGGGGAGUGUGGAAUUCCUGGUGUAGAGGUGAAAUUCGUAGAGAUCAGGAGGAAUACCGGUGGCGAAGGCGACACUCUGGACAGAUACUGACGCUGAGGCGCGAAAGCGUGGGGAGCAAACAGGAGUAGAAACCCCGGUAGUCC